CAGCCGCCGCGGUAAUACGUAGGGUGCAAGCGUUAAUCGGAAUUACUGGGCGUAAAGCGUGCGCAGGCGGUUUGUUAAGACAGAUGUGAAAUCCCCGGGCUCAACCUGGGAACUGCAUUUGUGACUGGCAAGCUAGAGUCUGGCAGAGGGGGGUGGAAUUCCGCGUGUAGCAGUGAAAUGCGUAGAUAUGCGGAGGAACACCGAUGGCGAAGGCAGCCCCCUGGGCCAACACUGACGCUCAUGCACGAAAGCGUGGGGAGCAAACAGGAUUAGAUACCCGGUAGUCCCUGUCUCUUAUACA
rnacentral:rRNA from 1 species